rnacentral:rRNA from 1 species
AUGAACGCUAGCUACAGGCUUCACACAUGCAAGUCGAGGGGAAACGGCAUUGAGUGCUUGCACUCUUUGGACGUCGACCGGCGCACGGGUGAGUAACGCGUAUCCAACCUUCCCAUUACUGUGGGAUAACCUGCCGAAAGGCAGACUAAUACCGCAUAGUCUUCGAUGACGGCAUCAGAUUUGAAGUAAAGAUUUAUCGGUAAUGGAUGGGGAUGCGUCUGAUUAGCUUGUUGGCGGGGUAACGGCCCACCAAGGCUACGAUCAGUAGGGGUUCUGAGAGGAAGGUCCCCCACAUUGGAACUGAGACACGGUCCAAACUCCUACGGGAGGCAGCAGUGAGGAAUAUUGGUCAAUGGACGGAAGUCUGAACCAGCCAAGUAGCGUGCAGGAUGACGGCCCUAUGGGUUGUAAACUGCUUUUGUAUGGGGAUAAAGUUAGGGACGUGUCCCUAUUUGCAGGUACCAUACGAAUAAGGACCGGCUAAUUCCGUG